AUGAUUUGAAAGGUUGGUAAGUUUUUAAAAUGAAAAAUAUUUUUUAAAGAAGAAAGUGUUCCAAUUUAAUGGUUUUCCACGGAAUUCUAUUGAUUGGAGGCGUAAGUGGCCGAGUAACGCCGGUCCAGCUAUUUGAUUAUGAAGACCAGUGAGGGCUGGCACAUUAUGAAGACCAGUGAGGGCUGGCAUUUGAAAGGCCAAAUGAUAGUUGCCUUUCGGGUACCCUAUUCACGUCCAGAGGGGCUGUAAAGUCCGGUAUGGGGAUUGUACGUGGCUGAUCACCCGUGCAAUCCAGAGCGUUAUACACUCCAAUCGAGUAAAAUGUUUUAUGAAAAUAAAUGUCCAUGUAAUUGGACUAUUUUGAAAAUGAGAUGAUUUUCGAGAUUGAAAAUGAAGCUUAAAUGAACGUUUUGAAAGAAAAUGUUAUGAAAAGGGAAAUUUUAUGAAAGUUAUAAGGAAUGAAUGGUUUUUAUGAACUUAUGGUUUAUAAAUUGGUUUCUUUGGAAUGAUCCUUAAUUUUGGAACCUAUGUUGAAAAUUUUGUAUCUUUGCUUAUAAUCAGAAACCUCAUAUCUUAUUCAGUUGAACCGUUGUCUUAUUUAUUUACUCUAGUUACUUGCUGAGCUUUUGUAGCUCAUUCUGUUCUUUAUCUAACCCUUUCAGCUAGAUACAAAGAUGGUUCGCUUGUUUGGGUUGCGCUUAAGAAUAACGCUAGGCAAGGAUUUCAAGUGAGUAUGUCAGACCUCGAUGGUCAGGAUAAGUAUUUUGGAAGAUGUCAAGGGAACUAGCUGUGAUUAAGAUGGUAUAAUUUUGAUUCAGAUGUAAAGCAGAUUUAAGUUUUGGUUAUCAGUUAUUCUUCUUGUCGAAGUUUAUCUGGUAAUGUAGAAUAUGUUGUAUUAGAUUUAUAUUUUCGAUUUUCUGAUUUCAAUACUAUAGCCUGUAUGCGAUCCUGUUUUCAGGGGGUGAAAUUGAAUUUUACUUUAAAUCAUUUUAAAAAUAUCUAGGUUUCAAAAUAAUUGUUUUUAGCUUCUUUCAAAAAUACAGGUUUUAAAUUGUUUUUCUUUUAGUGGCACCAAAUCCAGACCCCCGGAUUUGAGGGAUGUCACAGUUGGUAUCAGAGCUACAGGUUAUAAGGUAUUGAAAUCAGAAUGUAGGUGGGAGCAACGUGGUUAAUAAGAGAGAUGUGCCAAGUGAAACCUCUUGUAGAGGUAAGUUAAGACUAUUGGGUAUAGUCUCUGUUAAUAGAAUUGAGAUUGAGUUAGAAUAUUGAAAUCGAGUAUUCAUUUGGUAUAUCAUAGUUCCUAAUUUUAGAAUUAAUGAGUUUGGUUCUCAUGAGAAACAUGAUAGACCACAUUUGGUUCGGAAUCGUUAUUUAGAGGUUUUAUGAUUAGAGCUAGUUGAUGUCAGACCAAUGGUUAUUUUCACACUCUCUAGAGUAUUCCUUGCUACGGAGAGAGUUGUUUGGAGAAUUGCCGAUUGCCCCUUGUGAAUUGAAUAUAGAGUUUGUACCUGAUUAUGAAAGCUGCAGGGUCAAAGUAAGAGCCCCCGCAUAUAGUUAAGUAAUGAAUGCUAAAGUUUAUCUAGAACACGUGUAGAUUAGUGGAUAUACUGAUAUAGUACUCAUGAGUAAAUUAAGACGUCAACACUUAGUUGUGAUGGUUGUACGAAACUCGAUAAGAUUUUGGACUGUGCGAAGCUGAGCAGGACUCCUGAUGAUCCUGGAUAUUUAUAUAUCAAUCUUCAAAGACCCUGCGAGUUGAUGAUAAAGUACAAUAUUAAGCAUUAUCGAAUACUGAGAAGAAAGGACUAUAAUCGAAUAGAGGUCCAUUAGAAGAAUAGAUCGAGAAAAUACAUGUGAGACUCUUGGUAAUACCUUCCUCUUUUGUCGAUUAUAUUGAUUCAUUUCCUUCGAGUGAUUUGUUUUUACCUUUAUUUCGUGAAGAUGUUUGAUAAAGAAUAUUGUUCCCUCUCUCUUGGUCUGUAAAGUGAUGUUUGUGCUUAUUGAAUCAUUAUUGACCAUUCUUUUUAGCGAAACUAGGACAUUUGGAAUCUAUUUGAUUUUGAAUCCAAAGUCUGCGUCUGAGGUCCAUUCAUCAAAAGAUAAUCAUUGUCAACUCGAUUUUGAACUACUUUUGGUAUUUCCUUAUUCCAACUGAGAUGAACAACCCGAGUUGUGGGGGACACAAGAACUACCUGUCUGUGUGAUAGGAGUUGGAUGGGACGCCAUCACUUGUGUGUGUUGUACAUACAAGAAGGUUAACUACCUUUAGUAGUGUCUGAAUAAAGACACGCAACACCGAGUUCUUUAGAUCAUAUUGAUCUCUCAGUUAUUUCCUUAUUCAAUGACAUAACACUUGCUUCAAUACAUGAAAUCUGUCAUGUUUCAAUAUUCAAGAUUCUUGUAAUCUCUAGUAGUCUGAAGGUAUGCCAACUGAGUUGCCAACAUGGGUUAAGCCUUCGUAAGAGGGGGUACCAAGAGCAAAAUCAGAUGAUGAUGCGGGUAUACGAAAUCGAUUAAGAGGAUUCCAUAUAAAAAAAAAGAAUAUUACGGUUUAAAGCGAUCGUACACUUUAGUUUUCUCUUCGUUGAUUCCGAGGACGGAAUCCUUUUAAGGGGGGUAGAUUGUGACAACCCAUAUUUUUAUAAAUUAUUUUAUUUUAAUAUUCAUGAUUUUUUUGGAAAAGAAGGAAUAAAAUAUCAUAUUUUAUUCCCGUUUGAUGAGUUCUAAAUUAUUAUUUAAUAAUCUUUCGGGUCAGUGGGAUUUCGAAUAUAUUUUAUUUAUGUUAUUAUGUGAGUAAUAAAAAUUAUGUGCGAGUUGUGAGAAAUUUGUGUGAUUAUGUGAAUAAUUGUUGGAUGCAUUUUAUCUGUUCGUGCAUCCUUUGAUUUAAAUUAGUUCAUAUAGUCGAUCGUGAUUUAUGACAUCAUGAUUUGAUUAUUUUAGAUAUUCUAAAUAUCUUAUUUUAUUUGAAAGCUUUGGAAUUUAGAUUAAUUUUAUUAAAGUAAGAAUAUUUUCGGGUCCGUACAUUUUAUUUAGAUGAUCACUAGCUUUAUAUUUCAAGAUUGGGAUCCAAAACUUUUAUUAUAUAAAUAUAUCAUAUCUAAAAUUAUUUUAUUAUUAAAAAGAAAAUAGAAGUAGUACAAUUGUACUACACGGGUAGUACAAGCAGGAAAAAAAAAGAGGAGAGAAAAGCAAAACACAUACGCACAAAAACAGAGUAGUAGUCGGUGACUCUGAAAAUUGGGGGUUAGGGUUUGAGUGUCCACGGAAACUUAUAAUCCCAACAUAUAAUUGGGUAUAAACUUUUGUUUUCUUGCUUGAUUUUUGAGUUUUGGCGCAUGUAUAUCUAUAUGUUGUAUUGGGUUCGUAUAUAUAUGUGUGGUUGUACUUGAUUGUGGUGGUGGUUGGAAGUCGUGGGCGUCAGCGGAUGGGUGGUGGCAGGGUUGUGUCACAGCCGCCACGAGAAGAGAAAGGGAGUUGAGGCGAGGCACCGGAGGUUGGACGGCGCUACACGGCCGUGAAAGCAGCGGCGUCGCAAUCGGAAUGUUGAUGAUAGGCUAUGGGAAGGUGGCUCCAUUUUCCCGAUGAACACUUCACCAUCACCCCUGCAUCUCUUGUUCCGAAUCAAUGGGUAUAAUCAAUGUUUCUUUGUUGAAAUCAGUAUAUAUAUAUAUAUAUAUGGGUAUACAUUUGUGUUAUAUUAGUUGAGUAUUGAGUUGAUUGUUUUAUUACUAAGAUUAAUUUGUGCUUAUGUGAUUAAGCGUAAAUUGAGGUAAUAUUUGCUUGAUUUGGAUUAUAUGCUUUCUUAUAUGUAUGAGUACAAGUAUGAUGAUUGUAUACAUAUUUUCGGAAUGGUAUUUCAAGAGUUAAAGUAGUAGAUUAAAGAUGUAGUACAAUACAAAAUAAAGCUGAAAUUCAGGUUGCUGCUGGUCUGAUUUGUAGCACAGUUCUGGGCUCAUUGAGUGAAUUUAUAUGCUUAGUAUUUCUGUGAUAAUGUGCUCCUUGAAGUCUAGUUUAAGUACCAACAAGAAUUUCAAAGUUUCGUUAAUCGAGCUAAAAGUUAUGGCCGCUUGAGUGGGGUAGGUGUGAGAUGAUAUUUGUACUGUGAUAAUGCCUCUGUUUGGAACCAUUUUCUGGGAAGCUUGUAUUGUGUUUGAGCAUUAAGUUCUUGUGGAAUUAUAUGCUUAUUGUAGUCUAGUUUAUUCUCUAAAAAGAUUCAUAGCAUUUAGAUUAUUGAGCUAAAAGUUAUGAUUAUUUUUGUAAGGUAUGCACAGAAUACAAAACUGCUUCGAUUUUUGACUUUGUAAACUAUAGUUAAAUUACUUAAACUUUGAUUUUAAAGCCAAAACUUAUUUUGUAGCCAUUCAUGGAGUCCAGGGUGGUCUCCUAAAAAUUUCAAGUAAAAAUCAUGUAUUUCUGAUUUAUUAAAAAUGUUUGAUUGUCAGUAGCACAUAUUUAUGAGAAUCCUGUUUUGAGGUCACAAAAAGAAUUAUUUUCGUAAAUUCAAAUCUAUGUGUUGAGUUGUGAUUUGUUGGAAUAUAAAUGUGUACUAAUGGUUAUUGGUCAAUAGUUGUUAAUUUACUGGAUCCAUAUAGGUAUAUAUUCAGAGGAUAUAGUAUUCACACCGUUUUAAUAAAUGAUUUGGUGCCUAUGUGUAAUGUUUGAAAUGUAUUAAUUCAAGAAUCCAGAAUAUUUAUGGAUAAGUUUUGUGCAUAGCCAAGUAUUCUGAAACUGAUUUAUGAUAUAAGUUUUAUGCUGACUUGGUGUAAUAAAAUGAGAUUUUUGCAUUAGGAAUUACUCAUUACAUUGUGAUAUUAAGGAAGCAUGUGUACAAAUUAUAGUUGAACCACAUAGUAUUUUGGUGGCAGAUGAUUUUUAUAAAAAGGUAAAUUGUGACAUACUAUGGUUUUGAUUUAAAUCUUAAUAUUGACAUCGGUUAAGGAUAUGUGGAUUGAGCAGCCAAAGCUUUAAGGUAGAAUUAUGGGCAUUGUCAUCUUUGUGGAAAGUUAAUAUAUGAAUUAUUGAGUUAUAUUUGUGUUCAGAGUAUCAUUAGUUUGUAGUUGUUGGGUUAGAAACUUGUUGGGUUGAUUAUUGAUACUAGACUAAAACAGGUGGAUAGUCCGAUAAAUAGAGGAGAUGCUGCCGAAAUUUUGUUAGCAAAUAAGGAGGUGCUGUCAAUGUGCUAGUGGUUUGUAUAUAAUCAGAUAUGAGAUGAUAUACGAAAAGAAUUGGAUAGUCAUAUAUGUAUAAAUAUUAAUGCAUAUGAAUUAUCUGAUACGUGCUAAAAUGACUAUUUGUUUAACUAUGUGACACUAUGUAUUUAGUAUACAGUAUGUGUCUAUAUCGCGAUGGGUAGAAAUAGAGUUCGAUUCUAUGAUUUAGGUGACGAUCUGGAUUGUUCUUCGACUGAAGUAUUAUUAUACUAUCUUGUAGAACCGAGCUAUGUGCGUAUCGAGGACGUUAUUAAGUAGUCGAAUUGAAAAGCAAGUUGAAACUGGAAUGAUCUGAAAAGACGAAGCUAUGUCGUGGAUGGAAUCUUGUCAAAAGCAAAGCGAGAAUAUACAGUAUAGGAAAGGCUCUACUAGGUGACAAGAAAAUAGGUUCUUUGAACAAGAAGGAAAGCGAAUAAGGCAAGUAACUUUCCUCUUUCUUUUAAGCAGCUUAAUGAUGAGUACUGUCACCUUUGAACUACCUUUUGAAUUAUGAAAGCCUGAUUUCCUUUCUCAUUGAAUAUGAUGUCUCACUUUUGAGUACAAGCUCUUUCAUGAUGAUCUUGCUUUUGUAUCCAGCAUAUUUUUAUCUUGAAAUAUCUUUCACUUGAUCGAAUGAUGUUUCCUUUCCAUGUACUUGACCUCACAAAAAUAUGGCACUUGUUUCUAUAAUUGAAACUAAGAAUGAUUUUAGACUUGCAAGUGUCCUAAUGAUUUGAAAGGUUGGUAAGUUUUUAAAAUGAAAGAUAUUUUUUUAAAGAAGAAAGUGUUCCAAUUUAAUGGUUUUCCACGGAAUUCUAUUGAUUGGAGGCGUAAGUGGCCGAGUAACGCCGGUCCAGCUAUUUGAUUAUGAAGACCAGUGAGGGCUGGCACAUUAUGAAGACCAGUGAGGGCUGGCAUUUGAAAGGCCAAAUGAUAGUUGCCUUUCGGGUACCCUAUUCACGUCCAGAGGGGCUGUAAAGUCCGGUAUGGGGAUUGUACGUGGCUGAUCACCCGUGCAUUCCAGAGCAUUAUACACUCCAAUCGAGUAAAAUGUUUCAUGAAAAUAAAUGUCCAUGUAAUUGGACUAUUUUGAAAAUGAGAUGAUUUUCGAGAUUGAAAAUGAAGCUUAAAUGAACGUUUUGAAAGAAAAUGUUAUGAAAAGGGAAAUUUUAUGAAAGUUAUAAGGAAUGAAUGGUUUUUAUGAACUUAUGGUUUAUAAAUUGGUUUCUUUGGAAUGAUCCUUAAUUUUGGAACCUAUGUUGAAAAUUUUGUAUCUUUGCUUAUAAUCAGAAACCUCAUAUCUUAUUCAGUUGAACCGUUGUCUUAUUUAUUUACUCUAGUUACUUGCUGAGCUUUUGUAGCUCAUUCUGUUCUUUAUCUAACCCUUUCAGCUAGAUACAAAGAUGGUUCGCUUGUUU
rnacentral:lncRNA from 1 species